AUGGACAAAGUACUGCCAUGUGUCUAAGACAAGCAUUGCGACCACAAAUUGUCUCGCCACCACGAAGAAGGAAGGUUGCAAGUUUGUACCAGUCCUUUCAUCUUUGCUUAUCACCUGCACAUGCUUCAGAAAUGAGAUGAUAGCUACAGCAAUCUGAAAUGCCUGUUGAACGAGAACACCUCUGACAACAGUUCCUUUCGAGGGCAAAUUCUUGGUUUCUUCCUCCUUCCUGGAGUGCAGCCGGUACUUGUCGAAGCAACCCAGCAGCAUGUAAAGGCCAGAGUACACCCAGUAAACUAGAACAGAAUGACCGUCUUGAAGGGCUGCUAUUUAUACAGGACCCAAAGCUGGCAAAACGGAAAUAUGCCAAUAGUUUUUUCCAUGGGUUCGCUGCUUCAACUGUACCGUCAAAACGA